CCGUCCCUACGGGACGCAGCAGUGGGGAAUAUUGGGCAAUGGGCGCAAGCCUGACCCAGCAACGCCGCGUGAAGGAAGAAGGCUUUCGGGUUGUAAACUUCUUUUCUCAGGGACGAAGCAAGUGACGGUACCUGAGGAAUAAGCCACGGCUAACUACGUGCCAGCAGCCGCGGUAAUACGUAGGUGGCAAGCGUUAUCCGGAUUUACUGGGUGUAAAGGGCGUGUAGGCGGGGACGCGAGUCAGAUGUGAAAAUCAUGGG
rnacentral:rRNA from 1 species